rnacentral:rRNA from 1 species
UACAGAGGGUGCGAGCGUUGUCCGGAAUUACUGGGCGUAAAGAGCGCGCAGGCGGUCGUCCAAGUCGCGUGUGAAAGCCCCCGGCUCAACUGGGGAGGGUCACGCGAUACUGGUCGACUCGAAGGCAGGAGAGGGUAGUGGAAUUCCCGGUGUAGUGGUGAAAUGCGUAGAUAUCGGGAGGAACACCAGUGGCGAAGGCGACUACCUGGCCUGUUCUUGACGCUGAGGCGCGAAAGCUAGGGGAGCAAACGGG